rnacentral:rRNA from 1 species
GAUGAACGCUAGCGAUAGGCUUAACACAUGCAAGUCGAGGGGCAGCAUGGUCUUAGCUUGCUAAGGCUGAUGGCGACCGGCGCACGGGUGCGUAACGCGUAUGCAACUUGCCUCACAGAGGGGGAUAACCCGUCGAAAGACGGACUAAUACCGCGUACACUCUAUGCUGGGCAUCCAAUGUAGAGGAAAUGAAAUUCGCUGUGAGAUAGGCAUGCGUCCCAUUAGCUAGUUGGUGAGGUAACGGCUCACCAAGGCGACGAUGGGUAGGGGAACUGAGAGGUUGAACCCCCACACUGGUACUGAGACACGGACCAGACUCCUACGGGAGGCAGCAGUGAGGAAUAUUGGUCAAUGGGCGAGAGCCUGAACCAGCCAAGUCGCGUGAAGGAUGACUGUCUUAUGGAUUGUAAACUUCUUUUAUACGGGAAUAACAAGAGUCACGUGUGGCUCCCUGCAUGUACCGUAUGAAUAAGCAUCGGCUAACUCCGUG